AUCAACAAUGUGUAUGUGUAGGUGUCUUUAUGUUGUGGUAAGGAAUGGCUGUGUGUUGAUACAUCAAGGCAGUGUCUAUGUGCGUGCGUGGAUGAAGAUCACAAAGAAGGCUUAAAAGUUCUGUUAGUCAAAGUCAUACACACAAAAGAUUAAAAGUAUAAUUAAAAAGCUUAAGGGAAUAUUCAAGUUAAAACUUAAGGGAAAAAUAAAGGAGAAAAUUAAAAAAGAACUUUAAAUGUUAUGAAUAGCUAUUUAAGAAAUACACACAAACAUUCACACACAUAAAACUCACUGAGACAACUUUUCUGCACUCACACUGUCACACUGUCCAUGGACAAACACACCCACUCUUUCUACAAUCUUAUUUUAUUUAUUUUAGUUUUAUUUUAUUUAUCCAAUAUCCAAUUUUAUUUUAUUUUAUUUAUUUUUAUGAGCUCAGUUGUUAACAGGCCUUGUAUUUCUCAGCUGUAAUCAAUAAGUCUGUAAGAUCCCCCGUCGAGCCCCCACCUUUGUGCUCCUCUCUGCGCGUGUCCGCGCCACCCAGCCUUGCUCCAGCCCCUCCUUCUGCUCCUCUGGCUCCGACGCUCUUGUCACAGACAGCUUUCCCUGCACGUUUUUUUCUUUGUCUUUUUCUGCCCACCCCCAAAAUAAACCUUUCCCCAGCGCUUUACCAUAUUUCACUAUUUCACUCUUAAAUCACUUCUUUUUUUUCCCGACAAAGACCUUUUUUUUCUCCACAAAACCUUUUAUUCCGUCUAACCAACCUAUUGUCGACAAACACGUACAACUUUUCAUUGGUGCCUGCUGGCGAUAGAGUUGAUUUAAAAUUACUUCUGCCAAUGAAUGCUUUUUCCCACGUGCAUUCCGACGGACCUGAUCGAUUUCUAAUCGACGAUUACGUACAAUGUACCUUAGCGACCGCUAAAAAUAUUACCAUGUACAUUGGCAACCGCUGAAAAUAUUACCGACCAAAAUGCUCCUGUGCCGCGAGCGGAGAACGGACCCGGCGAUUGUACUCUUGCAAUCCCCCUAGGAGACGUCACCGCCUCGGAGGGCUGCCGCAGGAGGAUCCCUAGCGCCGGCCUCGGGCUCAAACGUCGUGUCCGAGGUCUUUGUUACGGAUCCCGAUACCGGUGUCCGCCCACGUGGAAUUCGGCUCACCUCCCGCGCAGUCCUUCGUCGACGGAUGUUGUCUCCCGGUUUCGGCACCAACUGUUAAGAAUGACUUUUUUCCUUAAAAGAUUUCUAUAAAUGUUCCUAAAAAAAAUCCAAGAACCAGGCCUUAUUGAUCUCAGUUACUUUUAUUACUCCUUGCAAUGAGGAGAAAUCCGACCAGCCAACUACACAGAGUUACCUCGUGGGAGUUCUGCCCACCACACGCGGACAUGCACUUUUAUACAGUCAUGGCCGUUGCUAGGCAACGACAGUCAGGGGUCCUGUGUCAUAGGUCAUAAACCGUGAGCCUAUGUCCUUAAAAGGAGUCAGGACUCAGACAAAGACAUUCCAGUACUUUUCCACACAGCUGAGGGAUAGGGGGAGGUGAGGGAAAAGGUGACGCUGGCUUCAAGGCCCACACAUAACAUAAUUCUGUUAAUUAAUAUUUCCAACAAACACCGUUCACAAAGAAAGGAAUAAGAGCAUGUUAAAAGUCUGUGACCACACCCACCUCAUUAACAUUACAAUUAUUUCGAAAACGGUAAGAACUUUGACCAAUUGAUUGGUACCAUUAAAUU
rnacentral:lncRNA from 1 species